rnacentral:rRNA from 1 species
UGCGUAGGCGGACUAAUAAGUCAGUGAUGAAAUCUCUCGGCUCAACCGGGAAACUGCCAUUGAUACUGUUAGUCUUGAGUUCGGUUGAGGUAGGCGGAAUGUGUAAUGUAGCGGUGAAAUGCUUAGAUAUUACACAGAACACCAAUUGCGUAGGCAGCUUACUAGACCGACACUGACGCUGAGGCACGAAAGCGUGGGUAGCGAACAGGAUUAGAUACCCUGGUAGUCC